AUUGAACGCUGGCGGCAGGCCUAACACAUGCAAGUCGAGCGGAAACGAGUUAUCUGAACUUCGGGGAACGAUAACGGCGUCGAGCGGCGGACGGGUGAGUAAUGCCUAGGAAAUUGCCCUGAUGUGGGGGAUAACCAUGGAAACGAUGGCUAAUACCGCAUGAUGCCUACGGGCCAAAGAGGGGGACCUUCGGGCCUCUCGCGUCAGGAUAUGCCUAGGUGGGAUUAGCUAGUUGGUGAGGUAAGGGCUCACCAAGGCGACGAUCCCUAGCUGGUCUGAGAGGAUGAUCAGCCACACUGGAACUGAGACACGGUCCAGACUCCUACGGGAGGCAGCAGUGGGGAAUAUUGCACAAUGGGCGCAAGCCUGAUGCAGCCAUGCCGCGUGUAUGAAGAAGGCCUUCGGGUUGUAAAGUACUUUCAGUCGUGAGGAAGGUAGUGUAGUUAAUAGCUGCAUUAUUUGACGUUAGCGACAGAAGAAGCACCGGCUAACUCCGUGCCAGCAGCCGCGGUAAUACGGAGGGUGCGAGCGUUAAUCGGAAUUACUGGGCGUAAAGCGCAUGCAGGUGGUUUGUUAAGUCAGAUGUGAAAGCCCGGGGCUCAACCUCGGAAUAGCAUUUGAAACUGGCAGACUAGAGUACUGUAGAGGGGGGUAGAAUUUCAGGUGUAGCGGUGAAAUGCGUAGAGAUCUGAAGGAAUACCGGUGGCGAAGGCGGCCCCCUGGACAGAUACUGACACUCAGAUGCGAAAGCGUGGGGAGCAAACAGG
rnacentral:rRNA from 1 species